AUGCUGGAGGUAUCAGAAGUGCGAAUGCUGACAUAAGUAACGAUAAAGCGGGUGAAAAGCCCGCUCGCCGGAAGACCAAGGGUUCCUGUCCAACGUUAAUCGGGGCAGGGUGAGUCGACCCCUAAGGCGAGGCCGAAAGGCGUAGUCGAUGGGAAACAGGUUAAUAUUCCUGUACUUGGUGUUACUGCGAAGGGGGGACGGAGAAGGCUAUGUUGGCCGGGCGACGGUUGUCCCGGUUUAAGCGUGUAGGCUGGUUUUCCAGGCAAAUCCGGAAAAUCAAGGCUGAGGCGUGAUGACGAGGCACUACGGUGCUGAAGCAACAAAUGCCCUGCUUCCAGGAAAAGCCUCUAAGCAUCAGGUAACAUCAAAUCGUACCCCAAACCGACACAGGUGGUCAGGUAGAGAAUACCAAGGCGCUUGAGAGAACUCGGGUGAAGGAACUAGGCAAAAUGGUGCCGUAACUUCGGGAGAAGGCACGCUGAUAUGUAGGUGAAGUCCCUNGCGGAUGGAGCUGAAAUCAGUCGAAGAUACCAGCUGGCUGCAACUGUUUAUUAAAAACACAGCACUGUGCAAACACGAAAGUGGACGUAUACGGUGUGACGCCUGCCCGGUGCCGGAAGGUUAAUUGAUGGGGUCAGCGCAAGCGAAGCUCUUGAUCGAAGCCCCGGUAAACGGCGGCCGUAACUAUAACGGUCCUAAGGUAGCGAAAUUCCUUGUCGGGUAAGUUCCGACCUGCACGAAUGGCGUAAUGAUGGCCAGGCUGUCUCCACCCGAGACUCAGUGAAAUUGAACUCGCUGUGAAGAUGCAGUGUACCCGCGGCAAGACGGAAAGACCCCGUGAACCUUUACUAUAGCUUGACACUGAACAUUGAGCCUUGAUGUGUAGGAUAGGUGGGAGGCUUUGAAGUGUGGACGCCAGUCUGCAUGGAGCCGACCUUGAAAUACCACCCUUUAAUGUUUGAUGUUCUAACGUNGACCCGUGAUCCGGGUUGCGGACAGUGUCUGGUGGGUAGUUUGACUGGGGCGGUCUCCUCCUAAAGAGUAACGGAGGAGCACGAAGGUUGGCUAAUCCUGGUCGGACAUCAGGAGGUUAGUGCAAUGGCAUAAGCCAGCUUGACUGCGAGCGUGACGGCGCGAGCAGGUGCGAAAGCAGGUCAUAGUGAUCCGGUGGUUCUGAAUGGAAGGGCCAUCGCUCAACGGAUAAAAGGUACUCCGGGGAUAACAGGCUGAUACCGCCCAAGAGUUCAUAUCGACGGCGGUGUUUGGCACCUCGAUGUCGGCUCAUCACAUCCUGGGGCUGAAGUAGGUCCCAAGGGUAUGGCUGUUCGCCAUUUAAAGUGGUACGCGAGCUGGGUUUAGAACGUCGUGAGACAGUUCGGUCCCUAUCUGCCGUGGGCGCUGGAGAACUGAGGGGGGCUGCUCCUAGUACGAGAGGACCGGAGUGGACGCAUCACUGGUGUUCGGGUUGUCAUGCCAAUGGCACUGCCCGGUAGCUAAAUGCGGAAGAGAUAAGUGCUGAAAGCAUCUAAGCACGAAACUUGCCCCGAGAUGAGUUCUCCCUGACCCUUUAAGGGUCCUGAAGGAACGUUGAAGACGACGACGUUGAUAGGCCGGGUGUGUAAGCGCAGCGAUGCGUUGAGCUAACCGGUACUAAUGAACCGUGAGGCUUAACCUU
rnacentral:rRNA from 1 species